rnacentral:rRNA from 1 species
AUUGAACGCUGGCGGCAGGCCUAACACAUGCAAGUCGAACGAGUGGCGGACGGGUGAGUAAUAUCUGGGAAACUGCCUGAUGGAGGGGGAUAACUACUGGAAACGUUAGCUAAUACCGCAUACCAUUCGAUCUGCCCAUAUGGGAUUAGCUAGUUGGUGGGGUAACGGCUUACCAAGGCGACGAUCCCUAGCGGGUCUGAGAGGAUGACCAGCCACACUGGGACUGAGACACGGUCCAGACGCCUACGGGAGGCAGCAGUGGGGAAUAUUGCACAAUGGGCGCAAGCCUGAUGCAGCCAUGCCGCGUGUAUGAAGAAGGCCUUCGGGUUGUAAAGUACUUUCGGCGGGGAGGCGUUACCCGCAGAAGAAGCACCGGCUAACUCCGUGCCAGCAGCCGCGGUAAUAC